UACGGGGGAUGCAAGCGUUAUCCGGAUUUAUUGGGUUUAAAGGGUGCGUAGGCGGGAUGCCAAGUCAGCGGUAAAAAUGCGGUGCUCAACCUCGUCGAGCCGUUGAAACUGGGUGCCUUGAGUGGGCGAGAAGUACGCGGAAUGCGUGGUGUAGCGGUGAAAUGCAUAGAUAUCACGCAGAACUCCGAUUGCGAAGGCAGCGUACCGGCGCCCAACUGACGCUGAAGCACGAAGGCGUGGGUAUCGAACAGG
rnacentral:rRNA from 1 species